UACAGAGGGUGCGAGCGUUAAUCGGAAUUACUGGGCGUAAAGCGUGCGUAGGUGGUUAUUUAAGUUGACUGUGAAAUACUCGGGCUUAACCUGAGAUUGUCAGUCAAGACUAGAUGACUAGAGUAGGAGAGAGGGAAGUGGAAUUUUCGGUGUAGCGGUGAAAUGCGUAGAUAUCGAAAAGAACAUCAGUGGCGAAGGCGGCUUCCUGGCUCCAUACUGACACUCUGGCACGAAAGCGUGGGGAGCAAACAGG
rnacentral:rRNA from 1 species